rnacentral:rRNA from 1 species
UACGGAGGUGGCGAGCGUUGUUCGGAAUUACUGGGCGUAAGGGGCGCGUAGGCGGCUUGGCAAGUCAGAUGUGAAAGCCCCGGGCUUAACUCGGGAACUGCAUCUGAAACUGCUUUGCUUGAGUCCUGGAGGGGGUAGUGGAAUUCCCAGUGUAGCGGUGAAAUGCGCAGAUAUUGGGAGGAACACCUGUGGCGAAGGCGGCUACCUGGACAGUGACUGACGCUGAUGCGCGAAAGCUAGGGGAG